rnacentral:rRNA from 1 species
GACGAACCGUGCGAACGUUGUUCGGAAUCACUGGGCUUAAAGGGAGCGUAGGCGGGCUAUCAAGUCUGGGUGAAAUCCCGCGGCUCAACCGCGGAACUGCCUCAGAUACUGACGGCCUCGAGGGAGAUAGGGGCAUGCGGAACUGUAGGUGGAGCGGUGAAAUGCGUUGAUAUCUACAGGAACUCCGGUGGCGAAAGCGGCGUGCUGGAUCUCUUCUGACGCUGAGGCUCGAAAGCUAGGGGAGCAAACGGG